GCUCAGUAACGGCGAGUGAAGCGGCAAUAGCUCAAAUUUGAAAUCUGGCUCUUCAGAGUCCGAGUUGUAAUUUGUAGAGGAUGCUUCGGCUUACGUUUCGGUCUAAGUUCCUUGGAACAGGACGUCACAGAGGGUGAGAAUCCCGUUUGUGGCCGAGACUUCCGCCAUGUGAAGCUCCUUCGACGAGUCGAGUUGUUUGGGAAUGCAGCUCUAAAUGGGAGGUAUAUUUCUUCUAAAGCUAAAUACCGGCCAGAGACCGAUAGCGCACAAGUAGAGUGAUCGAAAGAUGAAAAGCACUUUGGAAAGAGAGUUAAAAAGUACGUGAAAUUGUUGAAAGGGAAGCGCUUGCGACCAGACUUGCCCGCGGAUGCUCAACCGGUCCUUCGGCCGGUGCACUCUUCCGCGGUCAGGCCAGCAUCAGUUCGAGCGGUCGGAUAAAGGCCUUGGGAAUGUGGCUCUCUUCGGGGAGUGUUAUAGCCCUUGGUGUAAUACGGCCCGCCUGGACUGAGGCCCGCGCUUCGGCUAGGAUGCUGGCGUAAUGGUCGUAAGCGGCCCGUCUUGAAACACGGACCAAGGAGUCUAACAUCUAUGCGAGUGUUUGGGUGUCAAACCCGUGCGCGAAAUGAAAGUGAACGGAGGUGGGAACCUUAGGGUGCACCAUCGACCGAUCCUGAUGUCUUCGGAUGGAUUUGAGUAAGAGCAUAGCUGUUGGGACCCGAAAGAUGGUGAACUAUGCCUGAAUAGGGUGAAGCCAGAGGAAACUCUGGUGGAGGCUCGCAGCGGUUCUGACGUGCAAAUCGAUCGUCAAAUUUGGGUAUAGGGGCGAAA
rnacentral:rRNA from 1 species